rnacentral:rRNA from 1 species
AUUGAACGCUGGAGGCAGGCCUAACACAUGCACGUCGAACGAGUGGCGGACGGGUGAGUAAUGUCUGGGAAACUGCCUGAUGGAGGGGGAUAACUACUGGAAAAGGUAGCUAAUACCGCAUACCCUCGAAUGUGCCCAGAUGGGAUUAGCUAGUAGGUGGGGUAAAGGCUCACCUAGGCGACGAUCCCUCGCUGGUCUGAGAGGAUGACCAGCCACACUGGAACUGAUACACGGUCCAGACUCCUACGGGAGGCAGCAGUGGGGAAUAUUGCACAAUGGGCGCAAGCCGUAUGCAGCCAUGCCGCGUGUAUGAAGAAGGCCUUCGGGUUGUAAAGUACUUUCAUCGGGGAGGCGUUACCCUCAGAAGAAGCACCGGCUAACUCCGUGCCAGCAGCCGCGGUAAUAC